UGGGGAAUAUUGGACAAUGGGCGCAAGCCUGAUCCAGCAAUGCCGCGUGUGUGAAGAAGGCCUUCGGGUUGUAAAGCACUUUUAUCAGGAGCGAAACGCUGUCGGCUAAUACCCGGCGGAACUGACGGUACCUGAGGAAUAAGCACCGGCUAACUUCGUGCCAGCAGCCGCGGUAAUACGAAGGGUGCAAGCGUUAAUCGGAAUUACUGGGCGUAAAGCGUGCGUAGGCGGUUUCUUAAGUCUGCUGUGAAAUCCCCGGGCUCAACCUGGGAAUGGCAGUGGAUACUGGGAGGCUAGAGUGUGUCAGAGGGUGGUGGAAUUCCCGGUGUAGCGGUGAAAUGCGUAGAGAUCGGGAGGAACAUCAGUGGCGAAGGCGGCCACCUGGGACAACACUGACGCUGAGGCACGAAAGCGUGGGGAGCAAACAGGAUUAGAUACCCUGGUAGUCCACGCCCUAAAGCGAUGCGAACUGGAUGUUGGUCUCAACUCGGAGAUCAGUGUCGAAGCUAACGCGUUAAGUUCGCCGCCUGGGGAGUACGGUCGCAAGACUGAAACUUAAAUGAAUUG
rnacentral:rRNA from 1 species